CGGGACAUGGCUCAGCCCGGUAGAGCACUGCGUUCGGGACGCAGGGGUCGGGGGUUCAAAUCCCCCUGUCCCGA
rnacentral:tRNA from 1 species